rnacentral:rRNA from 1 species
CCUACGGGAGGCAGCAGUGGGGAAUAUUGCACAAUGGGGGAAACCCUGAUGCAGCGACGCCGCGUGAGUGAAGAAGUAAUUCGGUACGUAAAGCUCUAUCAGAAGGGAAGAAAAUGACGGUACGUGAGUAAUAAGCACCGGCUAACUACGUGCCAGCAGCCGCGGUAAUACGUAGGGGGCAAGCGUUAUUCGGAUUUACUGGGUGUAAAGGGAGCGUAGACGGUGGGGCAAGUCUGGAGUGAAAUGGCGCAGAUUAACUGCGGAACUGCGUUGGAAACUGGCGAACUAGAGUGCAGGAGGGGUAAGCGGAAUUCCUAGUGUAGCGGUGAAAUGCGUAGAUAUUAGGAGGAACACCGGUGGCGAAGGCGGCUUACUGGACCGUAACUGACGUUGAGGCUCGAAAGCGUGGGGAGCAAACAGGAUUAGAUACCCCGGUAGUC